GAUGAACGCUGGCGGCGUGCUUAACACAUGCAAGUCGAACGGAAAGGGCCGGCUUUUGUGGGGUGCUGGAGUGGCAAGCGGGUGAGUAAGACGUGAGUAGCGGGCCCUCGGCUGUGGGAGAACUCCAGGAAACUGGGGGUAAUGCCGGAUAGGAGGUAAUGCUGCUGGGGGGGGGUUGGAAAGUUUCGGCGGUUGGGGAUGGACACGCGGCUUAUCAGCUGGUGGGUGGGGUAGGGGCAUACGAGGGCUUCGACGGGUAGCCGGCCUGAGAGGGUGACCGGCCACAUCGCGACUGAUAUACGGCCCAGACUCCUACGGGAGGCAGCAGUGGUGAGUAUUGCACAGCAGUCGGAGGCCUGAUGCAGCAGCGCCGCGUCGGGGAUGUAGGCCUUCUGGUUGUAGUGCACUUUUGCCUGUGACGAAGCGUGAGUGACGGUAACGGGUAAAGAAGCACCGGCUAACUACGUG
rnacentral:rRNA from 1 species